rnacentral:rRNA from 1 species
AUUUGGUCGUAGACCCGAAACCAGGUGAUCUACCCUUGGUCAGGUUGAAGUUCAGGUAACACUGAAUGGAGGACCGAACCGACUUACGUUGAAAAGUGAGCGGAUGAACUGAGGGUAGCGGAGAAAUUCCAAUCGAACCUGGAGAUAGCUGGUUCUCUCCGAAAUAGCUUUAGGGCUAGCCUCAAGUGAUGAUUAUUGGAGGUAGAGCACUGUUUGGACGAGGGGCCCCUCUCGGGUUACCGAAUUCAGACAAACUCCGAAUGCCAAUUAAUUUAACUUGGGAGUCAGAACAUGGGUGAUAAGGUCCGUGUUCGAAAGGGAAACAGCCCAGACCACCAGCUAAGGUCCCAAAAUAUAUGUUAAGUGGAAAAGGAUGUGGCGUUGCCCAGACAACUAGGAUGUUGGCUUAGAAGCAGCCAUCAUUUAAAGAGUGCGUAAUAGCUCACUAGUCGAGUGACACUGCGCCGAAAAUGUACCGGGGCUAAACAUAUUACCGAAGCUGUGGAUUGUCCUUUGGACAAUGGUAGGAGAGCGUUCUAAGGGCGUUGAAGCAUGAUCGUAAGGACAUGUGGAGCGCUUAGAAGUGAGAAUGCCGGUGUGAGUAGCGAAAGACGGGUGAGAAUCCCGUCCACCGAUUGACUAAGGUUUCCAGAGGAAGGCUCGUCCGCUCUGGGUUAGUCGGGUCCUAAGCUGAGGCCGACAGGCGUAGGCGAUGGAUAACAGGUUGAUAUUCCUGUACCACCUAUAAUCGUUUUAAUCGAUGGGGGGACGCAGUAGGAUAGGCGAAGCGUGCGAUUGGAUUGCACGUCUAAGCAGUAAGGCUGAGUAUUAGGCAAAUCCGGUACUCGUUAAGGCUGAGCUGUGAUGGGGAGAAGACAUUGUGUCUUCGAGUCGUUGAUUUCACACUGCCGAGAAAAGCCUCUAGAUAGAAAAUAGGUGCCCGUACCGCAAACCGACACAGGUAGUCAAGAUGAGAAUUCUAAGGUGAGCGAGCGAACUCUCGUUAAGGAACUCGGCAAAAUGACCCCGUAACUUCGGGAGAAGGGGUGCUCUUUAGGGUUAACGCCCAGAAGAGCCGCAGUGAAUAGGCCCAAGCGACUGUUUAUCAAAAACACAGGUCUCUGCUAAACCGUAAGGUGAUGUAUAGGGGCUGACGCCUGCCCGGUGCUGGAAGGUUAAGAGGAGUGGUUAGCUUCUGCGAAGCUACGAAUCGAAGCCCCAGUAAACGGCGGCCGUAACUAUAACGGUCCUAAGGUAGCGAAAUUCCUUGUCGGGUAAGUUCCGACCCGCACGAAAGGCGUAACGAUUUGGGCACUGUCUCAACGAGAGACUCGGUGAAAUCAUAGUACCUGUGAAGAUGCAGGUUACCCGCGACAGGACGGAAAGACCCCGUGGAGCUUUACUGUAGCCUGAUAUUGAAAUUCGGCACAGCUUGUACAGGAUAGGUAGGAGCCUUUGAAACGUGAGCGCUAGCUUACGUGGAGGCGCUGGUGGG